CUUCUACUGAAAAAUUACUUUUUCGCCCAGUAAAUCUCAGAUUGGCCACGAGGAUGAACACUAUCAAAUCGUUUGGAAGACAAUCCGGAUGCAGUCUCAGGAAACCCCGGCUAGUGAGCUCAUGAAUUCACCUCCAUGCAGUGCAAUGAGAAUGAAGUUGGUAUGCAAAACCAACAAAAUUGAUGAAGAUGAUUUGGUCGACAGUGGUACGGUGACCGUCGGAACUGCUGAACUAGUUUUUGAAGCCACGGAACUAAUUAGCGUCGAAGGAACAAGUGAACAGGUGACUGAAAUUGUCACGGUCGAAAAGGAAGCUGAAAGCACCGUUGAUAUUAGCCUCAGAGGCUGAAAACAAUCAAACGGAGGGCAUUCAUGAAGUAGUGACAGCGUCUCACGUAACAGAGUCAUAUAGUUUCUCAUUGUU